rnacentral:rRNA from 1 species
UACGUAGGGUGCGAGCGUUAAUCGGAAUUACUGGGCGUAAAGCGUGCGCAGGCGGUUCGUUGUGUCUGAUGUGAAAGCCCCGGGCUCAACCUGGGAAUGGCAUUGGAAACUGGCGAGCUGGAGUGUGGCAGAGGGGGGUGGAAUUCCGUGUGUAGCAGUGAAAUGCGUAGAGAUGCGGAGGAACACCGAUGGCGAAGGCAGCCCCCUGGGCCAACACUGACGCUCAGGCACGAAAGCGUGGGGAGCAAACAGG